rnacentral:rRNA from 1 species
AUUGAACGCUGGCGGCAUGCUUUACACAUGCAAGUCGAACGGCAACGAGGAGAAGCUUGCUUCUCUGUCGGCGAGUGGCGAACGGGUGAGUAUAGCAUCGGAACGUGCCAAGUAGUGGGGGAUAACCAAACGAAAGUUUGGCUAAUACCGCGUAAGCUCCAAGGAGGAAAGUAGGGGACCUAAAUAAGGCCUUACGCUAUUUGAUCGGCCGAUGUCGGAUUAGCUAGUUGGUGGGGUAAUGGCUCACCAAGGCAAUGAUCCGUAGCGGGUCUGAGAGGACGAUCCGCCACACUGGGACUGAGACACGGCCCAGACUCCUACGGGAGGCAGCAGUGGGGAAUUUUGGACAAUGGGGGAAACCCUGAUCCAGCCAUGCCGCGUGUAUGAAGAAGGCCUUAGGGUUGUAAAGUACUUUUGUUAGGGAAGAAAAGCUAGGUUUUAAUAAAAAUUAGUGAUGACGGUACCUAAAGAAUAAGCACCGGCUAACUACGUG